GAUGAACGCUGGCGGCGUGCCUAAUACAUGCAAGUCGAGCGAACAGACGAGGAGCUUGCUCCUCUGACGUUAGCGGCGGACGGGUGAGUAACACGUGGAUAACCUACCUAUAAGACUGGGAUAACUUCGGGAAACCGGAGCUAAUACCGGAUAAUAUAUUGAACCGCAUGGUUCAAUAGUGAAAGACGGUUUUGCUGUCACUUAUAGAUGGAUCCGCGCCGCAUUAGCUAGUUGGUAAGGUAACGGCUUACCAAGGCGACGAUGCGUAGCCGACCUGAGAGGGUGAUCGGCCACACUGGAACUGAGACACGGUCCAGACUCCUACGGGAGGCAGCAGUAGGGAAUCUUCCGCAAUGGGCGAAAGCCUGACGGAGCAACGCCGCGUGAGUGAUGAAGGUCUUCGGAUCGUAAAACUCUGUUAUUAGGGAAGAACAAAUGUGUAAGUAACUAUGCACGUCUUGACGGUACCGAAUCGGAAAGCCACGGCUAACUACGU
rnacentral:rRNA from 1 species